UGGGGAAUAUUGCACAAUGGGCGAAAGCCUGAUGCAGCAACGCCGCGUGAGUGAUGAAGGUCUUCGGAUUGUAAAGCUCUGUCUUUUGGGACGAUAAUGACGGUACCAAAGGAGGAAGCCACGGCUAACUACGUGCCAGCAGCCGCGGUAAUACGUAGGUGGCGAGCGUUGUCCGGAUUUACUGGGCGUAAAGGGUGCGUAGGCGGAUGUUUAAGUGAGAUGUGAAAUACCCGGGCUUAACUUGGGUGCUGCAUUUCAAACUGGAUAUCUAGAGUGCAGGAGAGGAGAAUGGAAUUCCUAGUGUAGCGGUGAAAUGCGUAGAGAUUAGGAAGAACACCAGUGGCGAAGGCGAUUCUCUGGACUGUAACUGACGCUGAGGCACGAAAGCGUGGGUAGCAAACAGGAUUAGAUACCCUGGUAGUCCACGCCGUAAACGGUGAGUACUAGGUGUAGGAGGUAUCGACCCCUUCUGUGCCGCAGUAAACACAUUAAGUACUCCGCCUGGGAAGUACGAUCGCAAGAUUAAAACUCUAAAGUGAAUUGAC
rnacentral:rRNA from 1 species